UAAUCACUUGUCUUUUAAAUGGAGACCUGUAUGAAUGGCAUAACGAGGGUUUAACUGUCUCCUCCCCCCAGUCAAUGAAAUUGAUCUGCCCGUGCAGAAGCGGACAUAAUAACAUAAGACGAGAAGACCCUAUGGAGCUUCAGGCAAAUGGUCAAGCUCACAAAACCCUGCUUUUAAAUAAAACCAGGGGAAACAAAAACCACUGAUCAUACGCCUUCGGUUGGGGCGACCAUGGAGGAAAGAAAAGCCUCCAAGUGGAAUGGGAAAACCCUUAAACUAAGAAAAACAACUCUAAGUACCAGAAAUUCUGACCAAAAAUGACCCAGGCUCAUGCCUGAUCAACGAACCGAGUUACCCUAGGGAUAACAGCGCAAUCCUCUCCCAGAGUCCA
rnacentral:rRNA from 1 species